UAUGGGAAAUACAUGAUGGAUCUAGGGACAUUACUGUUUGAAUUGUUGUCAAAAGCUUUAGGUCUGAAUCCAAACCAUCUAAAAGAUAUGGAUUGUGCUGAAGGACUAGUUGCUCUUUGCCAUUAUUAUCCACCAUGUCCUGAACCAGAGUUAACAGUUGGAACAACCAAACAUUCAGAUAAUGAUUUCCUCACAGUGCUUCUACAAGACCAUAUUGGUGGCCUACAAGUUCUUAUUGAAGAUAAAUGGAUUGAUAUAAAACCUGUACCUGGAGCUCUCAUAGUCAAUGUUGGAGAUCUUCUGCAGGCAAGUUUUGUGUAUUCUUAUGUGCAUAAUGAACAAAAUUCAACAUGGCACAUAUUGACCAAUCAGAAUGUGUUCUACACCAAGUAAAAAAGACCAAAACUACUAAAAUAGGACACACCAUGCAAUCUAACUUGGUUCCUAGCAUGUAGCAUGCAUUAUGUUAAGAGUCCUAUAAGCAUGAGAUAAUAUGGUAUGAAAAUGUAUUUAUAAGUAUGAGGCAUUUUUAAAGCAUACAAAUUCAUUUUGUAAGAUUGAGUUAGAUCCAACUCAAAUUCUAAGAUAAUAUUAAAGUCUAUCCAAGAUCCAUUUUACUACCCGCUAUCAGGGCACGUUCCAUAUGUCCAUUUUCUAGCAUGAGAUAGGUGUGUUAGGAGUCCAAUAUUGAAUGCCAUAUGGACUAAAAAUGUGUUCAUAAGUACGGCGCAUCUUUUACCGUACAAGUAUAGACCCAAUAAAAAUUCUAAUUUUUAUCUCCAAUCUUAUUUUAGGUGUUAUGUUAUGUCUUUUGUGAGAAAAAUUCUAACUGCAGAGAGGUAGAAAAUAAUAGAUGCAAACAUAUUGCUAAUUAUUUGUUUGUUUACUUUGUAGCUUAUAACCAAUGAUAAAUUCAAGAGUGUUGAACAUAGAGUACUUGCCAAUCAUGUUGGUCCAAGAAUAUCAGUUGCAUGUUUUUUCUGUACAGGCCAUUGGUCAUCUUCAAAGCUCUAUGGACCUAUAAAGGAACUAUUAUCAGAAGAAAAUCCACCCAAAUAUAGAGAAACCACAGUUACUGACUAUGUAACCUACUAUGAAGCAAAAGGACUUGAUGGUAGUUCUGCUCUUACACAUUACAAGAUUUUAACUGGACAAUUUGGAAGAUGAAAAUAAUAGCUCAUGUAAAUAAUUGAAUGAACUUGUUGUUGUGUUGGUGGUGGUGGUGUAGUUAUUCAUCAAUUCAAUAUGAUUGUAAUAUGAACUAUAAAUAUGAUGUGUUUCAAUAUCAUGCUAUGGAUGAAUUGCAAAGUAUAAAUAUGAUGUGGUUUCAAUAUCAUAUUCGGUAUUUUUGUUUGGUUUCAAUAUCAAUUCUACCUAAAAUGUUAGCUCAUGCCUAACUCUUUGGUGUCAUAUAUGAUUAUUUCUUCUUAUAUACACUCUUUUAAUUGUCAUUUCUAGCUCCGUAACAAACGAAAGAAAAUGGGAACCAACGAUACAGGCAAGCCUAACCUUGAUUCUAUACUGAGCGAACGCAAAGCAUUUGAUGAAACAAAAGCUGGUGUAAAAGGACUUGUUGAUGAAGGACUUAAGAAGAUCCCAAGCUUUUUUCAUCAUCAAAAGACAAAUAUCAGAAAGCCAACAAUCCAAGCCAUGUUAUUCCUGUCAUAGACCUUGUAGAUAUUGAUAAUAAAGAUCCUAGUAUUCACCAAGGGAUUGUUAACAAAAUCAAAGAAGCAUGUGAAACAUGGGGAUUUUUUCAGAUUACUAAUCAUGGAAUCCCUUUGAGUGUUCUUGAGGAGUUGAAAGAUGGUGUUAAGAGGUUUUAUGAGCAGGACACAGAAGUCAAAAAGGCUUUGUAUUCAAGAGAUAAGAAUAGAUCCUUUAUUUAUAAUAGUAAUUUUGAUAUUUAUAGCUUACCUGCACUUAAUUGGAGGGAUACUUUUAUAUGUUACUUGGCUCCUGAUACUCACAAACCAGAAGAUUUUCCCGUAGUAUGCAGGUAUGUAGCACGAACACUUCAGAUAGAAGACGCGUUUAGUGUCUGACUCAUGUUAGAGUCGAGCACCGGACACAGCACCGGUCUAGGUGUGAUACAAUUUUUUGUUAAUUAUUACCAAUGUCGACAUGUGAGUAUUAGUGUCAUCUCCGGUGUUCUUAUCUGGAGUGUUUCAUACGACUUAAGUUAAGAUACUCAAACUUAUCUUUUUUUAUGAAUCUAAACGGCUAGAGCUGAAUCUCAGUGAUCUCGUCUUCUAUAUAAGAAAAAUGAUAUUUUUAUAGUCUGACACAGAUUAUAACAGGUCUGAAAUUCAAUUUAAUCAUCAUUUGUUUCUUUUUCUAAAUGGUUACAUAUUCUUACAUUGCAGAGAUAUACUGCUAGAAUAUGGGAAAUACAUGAUGGAUCUAGGGACAUUACUGUUUGAAUUGUUGUCAGAAGCUUUAGGUCUGAAUCCAAACCAUCUAAAAGAUAUGGAUUGUGCUGAAGGGCUAGUUGCUCUUUGCCAUUAUUAUCCACCGUGCCCUGAACCAGAAUUGACUGUGGGAACAACCAAGCAUUCUGACACUGAUUUUCUUACAGUGCUUCUACAAGACCAUAUUGGUGACCUACAAGUUCUUUAUGAAGAUAAAUGGAUUGAUAUAAAACCUGUACCUGGAGCUCUGAUAGUUAAUGUUGGAGAUCUUUUGCAGGCAAGUUUUCUGUAUUCUUAUGUGCAUAUUACUAUUUACAAGAAACUGUUUCUACUGUACCAUAAUGAACAAAAUUCAACAUGGCACAUAUUGACCAAUAAGAAUGUGUUUAAGUAAAAAAAUACCAAAGAUACAAAAAUAGGACACACCAUGCAGCCUAAAUUGGUUCCUAUAAUUAUUCAAAUAUCUUGCAAUUUCAACUUGGUUUCAAGCAUAUAUCAGGCAUUACAUUAAGUGUCCAACAUUGGAUAUGAGAUGUGCUAUGAAUAUGUGUUUAUAAGUACGAGGCGUCCUUCAACAUACAAUUUGAUUUUGUAGGGUUGAGUUUGACUCGAUUCAAAUUUAAAGAUGAUAUUCGAGCCUAUUUAAGAUCUGUUCACCUACCUGUUAUGGGGGCGCUCAGGUCACGCUCUAAAUGUUCGAUCCUGGGGGUGUGACCGGUUCAUUAAAAGUCUAAUAUUGAAUGAAUAUGGCCUAAAAAUGUGUUUAUAAGUAGGAGCCAUGUCUCAUCAUUCAAUCUGGUUUUAUAGGGUUGAAUUAGAACCAACAUAAAUUCUAAUAACUUAUCUUCCAUCUUUAUUUGAGGUGUUUAGUUAUGUGUUUUGUGCCUACUAUUGUUUCUUACUCUACAAGUAAAUUGUCUAGUUCUACAUACACUAGAUCUCUCAAACUGAUAGGAAAUAGAGAUAUACUCUAAUUACAAAGAUAGGACACUGCAUAACUUGCAGGGUCUGCAACUUCCUAUACUAAAAGGGCCUAAUUCUUUCACAAAUGACUGGCUUGGUUUCCCUCUUAUCAGUUCAAUUUCUGGUUUGGUUUUUAAGAUAUUGAUUGGAA
rnacentral:lncRNA from 1 species